UCCGCAUGGUUAAGCCAAACAGAUAGCGGCCUGUUAAUCCGCAGGUCCCUGGUUCGAGUCCAGGUCGGGGAGCCA
rnacentral:tRNA from 1 species